rnacentral:rRNA from 1 species
UACGAAGGGGGCUAGCGUUGCUCGGAAUCACUGGGCGUAAAGGGUGCGUAGGCGGGUCUUUAAGUCAGGGGUGAAAUCCUGGAGCUCAACUCCAGAACUGCCUUUGAUACUGAAGAUCUUGAGUUCGGGAGAGGUGAGUGGAACUGCGAGUGUAGAGGUGAAAUUCGUAGAUAUUCGCAAGAACACCAGUGGCGAAGGCGCUCACUGGCCCGGUUCUGACGCUGAGGCGCGAAGGCCAGGGGAGCAAACGGG